ACACACACAAACGCAAUAGUAACUAUGUGAAAUGAUGGCUGUGUUAAUUAGCCUAAUGUGGUAAUCAUUUCACAAUGUAUACAUAUAUCAAAACAUCAUUCUGUAUAUCUUAAAUAUAGGCAUUUUUGUCAUUUAUGCCUCAAUAAAACUAGAAUAAAAGGAUUAUAUUAAUUUGAACCACUUUAAAUGCAUUUGGGUUUAAUACUCUGUAGAGUUUGGUUAAUUAAUCUUCAGUAAAUAAACACAAGAUUAGAAAUGUUGUCAAUAUUCCUGGAAAGUCGGGUUAUUUGUUUUCUGAAUAUAUGUCUUUAAAUUUUUUCACAAAUGUGUGGUUUCAUUAGUUUGCAAAGAAUAUAUAUAUAAUUUGAAGGAUGCAGAGCUAGAUAAUGUUCGACUUCAAUCCCUGCUUCUGUCAAAGCUAUAUAGGAUCAGCCCAUUCAAAUGAAGAUGAAAAUGAGCUCUUUAGCUCAUCUGGGAAGCAUCUGUGCAGAAUUGUGGAAGGCAGUGGUAAGAAAAAAAACCAUUAUUAGGUAAGCAAA